CCCCGGGUGGCGGAAUAGGUAGACGCAGCGGACUUAAAAUCCGCCGGUUGUAAUAUACCGUGCCGGUUCAAUUCCGGCCUCGGGGACCA
rnacentral:tRNA from 1 species